AGUGAACGCUGGCGGUAGGCCUAACACAUGCAAGUCGAACGGCAGCACAGUAAGAGCUUGCUCUUACGGGUGGCGAGUGGCGGACGGGUGAGGAAUACAUCGGAAUCUACUUUUUCGUGGGGGAUAACGUAGGGAAACUUACGCUAAUACCGCAUACGACCUACGGGUGAAAGCAGGGGAUCUUCGGACCUUGCGCGAUUGAAUGAGCCGAUGUCGGAUUAGCUAGUUGGCGGGGUAAAGGCCCACCAAGGCGACGAUCCGUAGCUGGUCUGAGAGGAUGAUCAGCCACACUGGAACUGAGACACGGUCCAGACUCCUACGGGAGGCAGCAGUGGGGAAUAUUGGACAAUGGGCGCAAGCCUGAUCCAGCCAUACCGCGUGGGUGAAGAAGGCCUUCGGGUUGUAAAGCCCUUUUGCUGGGAAAGAAAAGCAGCAGGUUAAUACCCCGCUGUUCUGACGGUACCCAAAGAAUAAGCACCGGCUAGCUUCGUG
rnacentral:rRNA from 1 species